rnacentral:lncRNA from 1 species
AAAAAAAACAGUGAUUAAUUCAGCGCGAAAAUACAGUUAGCAUCACUAGUUAGCAUUUAGCCACUCAGGCCCGUAGCCAGGGGGGAUCGAAGGGUUCGUUCGAAAAUACAGUAUAGAGGUGUAAAAAGGGGGUUAACCUCUUAACACGCCCUGGCCCGCCGGCGGGCCAGAAAAAUAUCAUAUUUAAUAUCUGGCUGUGUUUAUGAAAACUUAUAGGUUCAAUAUAGACACCCAAUAUGCCAUUUUAAAGCUUUUCAGUUAUCUAGCCUAUUUAACCGUAUCUCCUUUCAGAAAAUAAACAUUUAGGGCGAAAUAUGCCUAGUUAUGAAAUAUUAUUUUCAUAUUUGCGUUUUUCGUACGUCCAUAUUUGAUCGAAUGCGGACAUGUUAUACACCAUUCAACGAAGUCCCAGCACAGUUGUAGGAAGAUUUGAAUAAAACAGAACACUUCAAUUUAUAUUAUUAUUAAUUCAUGUUUAAGUUUUAAUGACAAUACCGAUAGUGAAGUAAUUCUUAUCUAUUUAUGUCAAUAGUAGAGAGAUAGACAAUAAAGGACAGCAACAUCAGAGACAAACAAUGGAGGGCAGCAACAGAGACAAUGGAACAAAGCAACAGACAACUGAGUGGGGAGCAACAGAUGAACAAAUAAGGACAGCAACAACAGAUUCACAACAAACUUAUAAUGAAGAAAAUAUGUCUAAAUUAAAAGGUUUGAAGUGUGCUCGUGUAUUUAGGGGGCAUUGGAGUAGAGAGCCAAAUGAAGUCCACUUUUGGGGGAAAAAGAUCCCCCCCAUAACAAUGCUGGCUACAGCCCUGCCACUGUAGAUAGUCUGCUAUUGUGAGUCUCAUAAGUCCUCAGGCCAGCUUGUAUACUUAUACCUUUAUACCAAGAAGAAUACAGACCCUUUUUUAUAAUUUAUUUGGACUUUACUAAACAUUAUUUAAUUCUCUUAAUAUUUGCAUCUUACUUAUAAUCAUUCUAAGCAGGGCUAGUAUAUUUUAUCACAGAGCAACACAUUUCAGCUAUUAAUGUAAAAAGUCUUAGAGUGAAGUUACUCCAAGACAUAUCUGAGCAGCCUACGAUCAUCUGAUAAUAACCUCUGACCAUCUCCUAUAAAUUGUCAUUAAGGCAAAAAAGUCUUAGUUUUAGUGCUGUAGAUUAUAUAACUUUUUAGAUUUUUUUAAUUUCAUUUAUCUAGAAAUUUGUUACAUUUAAAUUCCAGCUCAGUGAAGUACUUUAAGCACCCAAAAAUGUAGUAAGUCGCCUUUCUAUUAAAAUUGUGCUUUAAAUUCAGAACGUUAUGUUACACAAAAUGUUAGUAUUGCCUACAUGACCAGUGAUUUAUUAAAAAAAAAAAAUAUUUGCCAUUUAAUUUAGACCAGAUAACAAAUAACAGCUGUGGGAAGACCAUUUGUAAAAAUGUGCAGUCUACAGAUAUCUUCUUAUUUGCUGAUUUUUAAAAAAAAAAAAAAUAAACAUGUCCAUAGUACAUAAUGGUCUGUGUGU